rnacentral:lncRNA from 1 species
GCCUCCCGUUCGUUCCUGUGGCUUCUGGAGUCUUCUAGAUGGUAGAAAAUUGCGCGGCACGUUAAUAUCUCUAUGUAAUCCCGACGUGUGGGCCUUUCUUCCUUAUUUCCUGAUAACCCCCUGCAGAAAUAGACAAACACCAAAACUCGUGGAAUUCUGUGUGAUAAAACCCUAAGUCUCGACGUUGAUUUCAUUUGGAUCCUUUUCU